CAGUCGCCGCGGGAAUACGUAGGGUGCAAGCGUUAAUCGGAAUUACUGGGCGUAAAGCGUGCGCAGGCGGUUUUGUAAGACAGAGGUGAAAUCCCCGGGCUCAACCUGGGAACUGCCUUUGUGACUGCAAGGCUGGAGUGCGGCAGAGGGGGAUGGAAUUCCGCGUGUAGCAGUGAAAUGCGUAGAUAUGCGGAGGAACACCGAUGGCGAAGGCAAUCCCCUGGGCCUGCACUGACGCUCAUGCACGAAAGCGUGGGGAGCAAACAGGAUUAGAGACCCCAGUAGUCCCUGUCUCUUAUAC
rnacentral:rRNA from 1 species